AGCUCUCUGUAUCCGUGCUGAGAUUUCGUCAGCUAUCAACCUGCUAGCUUUGGCUGAUGAUACUUCCCAAAUAAGUGAAGCG
rnacentral:pre_miRNA from 1 species